rnacentral:rRNA from 1 species
CCUACGGGUGGCAGCAGUGGGGAAUAUUGCGCAAUGGGCGAAAGCCUGACGCAGCGACGCCGCGUGAGGGAUGAUGGUUUUCGGAUCGUAAACCUCUGUCAGCAGGGAAGAAAGGUCACUGUGCUAAUCAGCAGUGAAUUGACGGUACCUGCACAGGAAGCACCGGCUAACUCCGUGCCAGCACCCGAGGUAAUACGGAGGGGGCGAGCGUUAACCGGAAUUACUGGGCGGAAGGGGCUCGUAGGCGGUAUGUCAAGCCAAGGGGGAAAUCCCCGGGCUCAACGUGGGAACUGCCUUUGAAACUGGCAAACUGGAGUGUAGGAGAGGAUAGUGGAAUUCCAGGUGUAGGAGUGAAAUCCGUAGAUAUCAGGAGGAACACCAGUGGCGAAGGCGACUAUCUGGCACAUAACUGACGCUGAGGAGCGAAAGCGUGGGUAGCAAACAGGAUUAGAUACCCGUGUAGUC